AUUGAACGCUGGCGGCAUGCCUUACACAUGCAAGUCGAACGGUAACAGGUUAAGCUGACGAGUGGCGAACGGGUGAGUAAUGUAUCGGAACGUGCCCAGUCGUGGGGGAUAACUGCUCGAAAGAGCAGCUAAUACCGCAUACGACCUGAGGGUGAAAGCGGGGGAUCGCAAGACCUCGCGCGAUUGGAGCGGCCGAUAUCAGAUUAGGUAGUUGGUGAGGUAAAGGCUCACCAAGCCGACGAUCUGUAGCUGGUCUGAGAGGACGACCAGCCACACUGGGACUGAGACACGGCCCAGACUCCUACGGGAGGCGGCAGUGGGGAAUUUUGGACAAUGGGCGCAAGCCUGAUCCAGCCAUGCCGCGUGCGGGAAGAAGGCCUUCGGGUUGUAAACCGCUUUUGUCAGGGAAGAAAAGGUUCUGGCUAAUACCUGGGACUCAUGACGGUACCUGAAGAAUAAGCACCGGCUAACUACGUG
rnacentral:rRNA from 1 species